ensembl:lncRNA
CCAUAAUUGAAGCUGUGGCUCCUUCCUCCCCUUAUGAGAGCGAUUACACAGUGUUUGCAAAGGGCGGGCAUUUUGGAGAGAGAAAAUCAGAGAGAGAGAGAGAGACAGAGAGAGAGGAAAAGGAAGAAGAAGAAGAGAGUGGUGGAGGGUGAGAGGAGGAGGAGGAGGAGAAGAGGCGAAAGAGGCUCGUGUUCAAAAUCCACAAAGGUUUUGUAAUAAAUGCAUCGACGACAAUAAAAACAAAAACAUUAAAGGGAGAAAAGACGUGUUUCUGUGUUAAACAAUUAGUGCUGCAGCAUUAGAGCCGAUCAGGAAGAGACAAAAGCUCGGCAGCAGCAGGGGUUUACCCCAGACACAAAGACACAAAGACAGAUGCUCUGCAGCCCAGCCAAGCUACAGUACCAUACUAGCUUUCUCUGGAGCUGCACAGAACCACGUCCACAAUCCAACUGUCUGUGGGUCUGUCAGCGAGACAAAGAGUGCCGCAAUUUAAAUAGAAUUUCUACGUAACCUGCCCCUAAAGGUGCUUUCCCUCCCCUACAGCCUCCUACAGCCUCACAAACAGUACCUGACUGGGCUGAUCUUUUUGCCUGAUUUCAAAAUGAAACCAACAUGGCUGCCCGUUUGCAAACUUUCUUCUAAGUUCUAAUAACAGCCCAGCGUGACAUGUUUCUGGAAACGUGAGGCAAGACAUAAGGCCUGCAGGUGCUGCAUCAAUCUUCAUUUUAGCUCAACAACGGCCGCUUUCGAAGUUUUUCAACGUUUCCACGUUUCUAGAGGUUUCACACCAAGGAGGUUGUGCAAAUGAGGAGUGAGUGACAUGUUCCCCCAUUCCACGAAACACAACGGCACGCUACCAGAAUGCACUGUAAGGCUGGAUACAUGGACAAUGAAAGAUCAUCAAACAGUUUUGAAAAGGCAUCCCUUGUUAGAGAGAAAGAGACAGACAGACAAUCUACCAGGUUUUACCACACGAACGCCACAGAGUCUCGCUGAUGAGGUUAAAAGGAAAUGGAAAUGGCUUAGGACUAUCGGCGUUGCCCCGGCAACCAUCUGAGUCCCCCAUCUCGCGGUGGAGAAAUGAGUUCUGAACAGGCUCGAGAGAAGCAGGGAUUAAACAUGAUCCCGCGGACGGACUGUCAAUCACAGCCCUCCAGCAGCCUUCCCGUGUUCACUCAAACAUCUACGCUCAAACAUAAAAAAGGUGCAUUUAAAAAAAAAACCAAAACAUGUAUACAUAUAUUAUUAUUUAUCGAUAACCA